AGUCGAGCGGUAGCACAGAGAGCUUGCUCUCGGGUGACGAGCGGCGGACGGGUGAGAAUGUCUGGGAAACUGCCUGAUGGAGGGGGAUAACUACUGGAAACGGUAGCUAAUACCGCAUAACGUCGCAAGACCAAGUGGGGGACCUUCGGGCCUCAUGCCAUCAUGUGCCCAGAUGGGAUUAGCUAGUAGGUGGGGAAUGGCUCACCUAGCACAUCCCUAGCUGGUCUGAAGGAUGACCAGCCACACUGGAACUGAGACACGGUCCAACUCCUACGGGAGGCAGCAGUGGGGAAUAUUGCACAAUGGGCGCAAGCCUGAUGCACCAUGCCGCGUGUAUGAAGAAGGCCUUCGGGUUGUAAAGUACUUUCAGCGAGGAGGAAGGCUUAAGGUUAAUAACCUUGGAUUGACGUUACUCCAAAAAGCACCGGCUAACUCCGUGCCAGCAGCCGCGGUAAUACGGAGGGUGCAAGCGUUAAUCGGAAUUACUGGGCGUAAAGCGCACGCAGGCGGUUUGUUAAGUCAUGUGAAAUCCCCGGGCUCAACCUGGGAACUGCAUUUGAAACUGGCAAGCUUGAGUCUUGUAGAGGGGGGUAGAAUUCCAGGUGUAGCGGUGAAAUGCGUAAGAUCUGGAGGAAUACCGGUGGCGAAGCGGCCCCCUGGACAAAGACUGACGCUCAUGCGAAAGCGUGGGGAGCAAACAGGAUUAAUACCCUGGUAGUCCACGCUGUAAACGAUGUCACUUGGAGGUUGUUCCCUUGAGGAGUGCUUCCGGAGCUAACGCGUUAAGUCACCGCCUGGGAGUACGGCCGCAGGUAAACUCAAAUGAAUUGACGGCCCGCACAGCGGUGGAGCAUGUGGUUUAAUUCGAUGCACCGAAAACCUUACCUACUCUUGACUCCAAGAACUUACAAGAUGCUUUGGGCCUUCAGGACCUGA
rnacentral:rRNA from 1 species